rnacentral:rRNA from 1 species
AAUCCAUAGGUUAAUGAGGCGAACCGGGGGAACUGAAACAUCUAAGUACCCCGAGGAAAAGAAAUCAACCGAGAUUCCCCCAGUAGCGGCGAGCGAACGGGGAGGAGCCCAGAGCCUGAAUCAGCAUGUGUGUUAGUGGAAGCGUCUGGAAAGGCGCGCGAUACAGGGUGACAGCCCCGUACACAAAAGCGCAUGUGCUGUGAGCUCGAUGAGUAGGGCGGGACACGUGGUAUCCUGUCUGAAUAUGGGGGGACCAUCCUCCAAGGCUAAAUACUCCUGACUGACCGAUAGUGAACCAGUACCGUGAGGGAAAGGCGAAAAGAACCCCGGCGAGGGGAGUGAAAAAGAACCUGAAACCGUGUACGUACAAGCAGUGGGAGCACCCUUCGGGGUGUGACUGCGUACCUUUUGUAUAAUGGGUCAGCGACUUAUAUUCUGUAGCAAGGUUAACCGAAUAGGGGAGCCGUAGGGAAACCGAGUCUUAACCGGGCGUUAAGUUGCAGGGUAUAGACCCGAAACCCGGUGAUCUAGCCAUGGGCAGGUUGAAGGUUGGGUAACACUAACUGGAGGACCGAACCGACUAAUGUUGAAAAAUUAGCGGAUGACCUGUGGCUGGGGGUGAAAGGCCAAUCAAACCGGGAGAUAGCUGGUUCUCCCCGAAAGCUAUUUAGGUAGCGCCUCGUGAAUUCAUCUCCGGGGGUAGAGCACUGUUUCGGCUAGGGGGCCAUCCCGGCUUACCAACCCGAUGCAAACUGCGAAUACCGGAGAAUGUUAUCACGGGAGACACACGGCGGGUGCUAACGUCCGUCGUGAAGAGGGAAACAACCCAGACCGCCAGCUAAGGUCCCAAAGUCAUGGUUAAGUGGGAAACGAUGUGGGAAGGCCCAGACAGCCAGGAUGUUGGCUUAGAAGCAGCCAUCAUUUAAAGAAAGCGUAAUAGCUCACUGGUCGAGUCGGCCUGCGCGGAAGAUGUAACGGGGCUAAACCAU